rnacentral:tRNA from 1 species
GCGCCCGUAGCUCAGUUGGAUAGAGCGUUGGUCUACGAAACCAAAGGUCGCACGUUCGAGCCGUGCCGGGCGCA